rnacentral:tRNA from 1 species
UGGGGUGUAGCUCAGUGGAAGAGCGCAUGGUUAGCAUGCUCAAGGUCCUGGGUUCAACCCCCAGCACCAAAA